rnacentral:rRNA from 1 species
UACGGAGGGUGCGAGCGUUGUUCGGAAUCACUGGGCGUAAAGCGCGUGUAGGCGGCCUGCUAAGUCUGAUGUGAAAGCCCGAGGCUCACCCUCGGAAGUGCAUUGGAAACUGGCAGACUGGAGUCCCGGAGAGGAGGGUGGAAUUCCUGGUGUAGCGGUGAAAUGCGUAGAUAUCAGGAGGAACACCGGUGGCGAAGGCGGCCCUCUGGACGGUGACUGACGCUGAGGCGCGAAAGCUAGGGGAGCAAACAGG